rnacentral:lncRNA from 1 species
UGUGUGUCAACUAGGUGUGUUCUAAACAUCAUUUUUCCAGUUGGAGGAAUGCUGAGUUUGGAGAUGGCUGGUAAAUGUGUCAUCUGGAUGACAUUCUGAGAUUGAUAUAAGGAAUGCCUUCUUUUGCUUCUUUAGCUGCCUUGACCAAUGUAGUGAUGCUGACAGAGGCUAUAAAAAAUGUGGCUCUCCAAUCUUGGGCACUUUAUGUAACCUUGCUCCAAGAAUACUGCUAAUGAAUCACAAAAGGUGGAGAAUGCUAAACAGCAAUGCUUCUGUUACUCUGUUGUGGCUAUUAAUCAAGAUGAUGCAUUGCUAAGACAGCUGCCUGGGUAUGACAGGAAGCAAAUUGCUGUGUCUGCCUGUCAGAAGUUUAUUUGCUACUUUGAGUAUAUGGAACAUGAAUGUCAACUGAAUGCAUUUAAAGAAAGUGCAAAUUAAACAUGAAGAUCUUCAA